rnacentral:misc_RNA from 1 species
GGGGAGAUAUUUGCAACUAAUUGAUUUCAAAUGCAAUUAAAAAAAGACCGAAUACGAUUCCUGUAUUCGGUCCAGGGAAAUGGCUCUUGGGAGAGAGCCGUGCGCUAAAAGUUGGCAUUAAUGCAGGCUUAGUUGCCUUGCCCUUUAAGAAUAGAUGACGACGCCAGGUUUUCCAGUUUGCGUGCAAAAUGGUCAAUAAAAAGCGUGGUGGUCAUCAGCUGAAAUGUUAAAAACCGCCCGUUCUGGUGA